UACGAAGGGUGCAAGCGUUACUCGGAAUUACUGGGCGUAAAGCGUGCGUAGGUGGUUUGUUAAGUCUGAUGUGAAAGCCCUGGGCUCAACCUGGGAAUUGCACUGGAUACUGGCAGGCUAGAGUGCGGUAGAGGAUGGCGGAAUUCCCGGUGUAGCAGUGAAAUGCGUAGAUAUCUGGAGGAACACCGGUGGCGAAGGCGGCAUCCUGGACCGGUAUUGACGCUGAGGCGCGAAAGCCAGGGGAGCAAACGGG
rnacentral:rRNA from 1 species